CCUGAUCACAGGUCCAUAAUCCCUGAUCACAGGUUCAUAAUCCCUGAUCACAGGUCCAUAACCCCUGAUCACAGGUUCAUAAUCCCUGAUCACAGGUUCAUAAUCCCUGAUCACAGGUUCACAACAGCUGUGAUCAGUCAGUGGUGAUAUCAGUUAUUUCCUAACAUGCCAGUGAGUUUUAUGACAAGGUUCUUCCUGGUGUGUGUGUGUGUGUGUGUGUAUGUGUGUGUGUCUGUGUGUAACAAUGAAGCAGACUGCAGUGACUUCAUGGUUAGGUCAAUUUAUUGUUUUGCCGUCCUCAGCAGCUCCUCCAAUCUGUAGCAGGAAUGAAAUGUAACAUGGCCCAAACAAAACAACAUCUACAACACCUAAAAAAUAACAAUCAUAAAGAAAAGAAAUGGAAGA